GAUGAACGCUGGCGGCGUGCCUAAUACAUGCAAGUCGAGCGAACAGAUAGGGAGCUUGCUCCUUUGACGUUAGCGGCGGACGGGUGAGUAACACGUGGGUAACCUACCUAUAAGACUGGAAUAACUCCGGGAAACCGGGGCUAAUGCCGGAUAACAUUUAGAACCGCAUGGUUCUAAAGUGAAAGAUGGUUUUGCUAUCACUUAUAGAUGGACCCGCGCCGUAUUAGCUAGUUGGUAAGGUGACGGCUUACCAAAGCAACGAUACGUAGCCGACCUGAGAGGGUGAGCGGCCACACUGGAACUGAGACACGGUCCAGACUCCUACGGGAGGCAACAGUAGGGAAACUUCCGCAAUGGGCGGAAGCCUGACGGAGCAACGCCGCGUGGGUGAUGAAGGUCUUCGGAUCGGAAAACUCUGUUAUUAGGGAAGAACAAAUGUGUAAGGAACUGUGCACGUCUUGACGGUACCUAAUCAGAAAGCCACGGCUAACUACGUG
rnacentral:rRNA from 1 species